rnacentral:rRNA from 1 species
GAUGAACGCUGGCGGCGUGCCUAAUACAUGCAAGUCGAGCGAACAGAUAAGGAGCUUGCUCCUUUGAAGUUAGCGGCGGACGGGUGAGUAACACGUGGGUAACCUACCUAUAAGACUGGGAUAACUUCGGGAAACCGGAGCUAAUACCGGAUAACAUUUAGAACCGCAUGGUUCUAAAGUGAAAGAUGGUUUUGCUAUCACUUAUAGAUGGACCCGCGCCGUAUUAGCUAGUUGGUAAGGUAACGGCUUACCAAGGCGACGAUACGUAGCCGACCUGAGAGGGUGAUCGGCCACACUGGAACUGAGACACGGUCCAGACUCCUACGGGAGGCAGCAGUAGGGAAUCUUCCGCAAUGGGCGAAAGCCUGACGGAGCAACGCUGCGUGAGUGAUGAAGGGUUUCGGCUCGUAAAACUCUGUUAUUAGGGAAGAACAAAUGUGUAAGUAACUGUGCACAUCUUGACGGUACCUAAUCAGAAAGCCACGGCUAACUACGUG